GGGAGGUGGGGCUGGGAGCUAGGACUCCUGGGUUCUCUCCCCAGCAUGUGGAGUUGGCUGCAGGCUCAGCACAGGGAAAAUCAAUUUGAGUUUGGUUGGGAGUUAAUAUAAAAAUAACAUUCCCCUGAGGCGUGCAGCGGUGCCUGGCAUGGGCACCGGGGGGGGCUGGUGCUGCUCUCUGGCCUCUCCCGCGUGAUGGGUGCAGUGGGGCCAGGGGGUCCUGGCGCCUGCAGGCUGCACCCACUGCCCCAACCCCCAGAGGGAGGGCAUGCACCUUUGCGGGGGUGACCACGCUGUUCCCUUCUGUGUCAGCAGGGGGUGCCCAGGUGAGCGGCUUUGGCGCCUCCCCCUCCAGCCACCCUGGCAGCGGGAUCCCGGACAUGGGCGGAGCACCCAGCAGCCUCUUCGGGAGCCUGAGCCAGCCGGCGGCCCUGCCCCCGCCCAGCCCUGCGCCCGCCUACGGGGGUAGGUGGCUUUUGCUUUGGCCCAGGGGGGUGCUAAUGCCCGUUGGCAGCCAGUAGCAAUGAGCCACCUCUCCCAUGCCACCCUCUCUUCCAGCCUACGCCAACCCCUUCGCCCCGCCUGCCGCCCCGCCUGCCCGGCCCAGCACUAACCCCUUCCAGCCCAACGGCACUGCACCAGAUUCCAGUUUUGAUGGGUUUGCUGCAGCCCCAGUGGGGCAGCCGGUCGGGAUCUCCACCAAUCCCUUCAUGACGGCAGCUCCAUCCUCGCCCUUCGUCAUCAAGCAUCCAGCCACCAACCCCUUCUUAUAGCGAGGUGCCCGGACGGCUGCUCUGGGCAGGAAGUGCCCAUCCCAUCCAGCAGGGGGCAGGCCGCUGCAGCCACACACACCCCCGCACCGGCUUCCGGCUGCGCAGCCCCAACGCUGUGGGGAUGGGCUGGACCAAGUGCUUUAACUACUGCGAUGGCUUCUAAGGGAACCGGCCCGGAGAAGAGCUGGCCCUUGAAGAGAGGUUCUGGGCCCAGCACCGAGGCAUUCUGGGACUUGUAGUCUCGGUGGGGAUUUUUCAGCAGGGCAUGCUGGGAAAGUGGAGGGGGUGGGAAUGUGGGUCAAGUGGGUUAGCUGGCCCUUAAAAGGGGUUUGGGAUUCUUCUGGGCCUUGUGGUCCAGAAGGGAGCCCCAGGGGAGCUGGAGGUGGGGCAGCAAUGCAUGCUGGGAAAGGGAGCCCUCUCUGCUUCUCCUCCCAAGCAAGAGGGGCUGGGAUGAGUGUGGGCUCUGUCAAGGGGGGCUGGAAUCUCUGGGGGGCUCCGCCA
rnacentral:lncRNA from 1 species